ACAUGCAGUCGAGCGGACAGAAGGGAGCUUGCUCCCGGAUGUUAGCGGCGGACGGGUGAGUAACACGUGGGUAACCUGCCUGUAAGACUGGGAUAACUCCGGGAAACCGGAGCUAAUACCGGAUAGUUCCUUGAACCGCAUGGUUCAAGGAUGAAAGACGGUUUCGGCUGUCACUUACAGAUGGACCCGCGGCGCAUUAGCUAGUUGGUGGGGUAAUGGCUCACCAAGGCGACGAUGCGUAGCCGACCUGAGAGGGUGAUCGGCCACACUGGGACUGAGACACGGCCCAGACUCCUACGGGAGGCAGCAGUAGGGAAUCUUCCGCAAUGGACGAAAGUCUGACGGAGCAACGCCGCGUGAGUGAUGAAGGUUUUCGGAUCGUAAAGCUCUGUUGUUAGGGAAGAACAAGUGCGAGAGUAACUGCUCGCACCUUGACGGUACCUAACCAGAAAGCCACGGCUAACUACGUGCCAGCAGCCGCGGUAAUACGUAGGUGGCAAGCGUUGUCCGGAAUUAUUGGGCGUAAAGGGCUCGCAGGCGGUUUCUUAAGUCUGAUGUGAAAGCCCCCGGCUCAACCGGGGAGGGUCAUUGGAAACUGGGAAACUUGAGUGCAGAAGAGGAGAGUGGAAUUCCACGUGUAGCGGUGAAAUGCGUAGAGAUGUGGAGGAACACCCGUGGUGAAGGCGACUCUCUGGUCCGUAACUGACGCUCACGAUCGAAAACGUGGGGAGCCUAAC
rnacentral:rRNA from 1 species